UCUGGUGUUGUUCGUGUAUUCAUCUGAUUAAACUAGUUCUUGCCAGUUCUUCUUGAACUUCUUGUUAGAUCUCAAGUCUGUAUUUCUGUGUCCGUGACAGUUUAUCGAGACUUCACUCACCUCAGAUAUGAGAGCUAGUUUCUUCUUUGUUAGAGUGUGGAUUAUCCCUCUGCUUGGAAGUGUACUAGCAUUUUAGAGGUUGCAGAUUACCCUCCUCUAAACUAAUACUUUUUUUGUUACAAUAUU
rnacentral:lncRNA from 1 species